rnacentral:tRNA from 1 species
GCCCUGUUAGCUCAGUUGGUAGAUCAUUGGACUUUUAAUACAAUGGUCGUGGGUUUGAGACCCACAUAGAGCG